GGCUGAUGUAACGUGAGUCUUAACAGAGACCUGGGUGCAAGUCGUAUAAUUAGCUUGGUAACAAGCUAAUGUAGCCUCACCCGGCUCAGUGUAGUUGCGCUAAUGUGCCUCCGCGCUGUACGAGAGGGCAGGUAUUUACAAAGGAAAACGUGCAGGUGGCGCCAGUAAAUGCGGACUUUCUGAGGCAGCUAAAACCCAAUUUUACAUAACGUUAACAUAAACCACAUUACCUUGAGGUUGUGGUGUAAUCCAGAAAUUGAGACCGGGGAAACCUUGUAGCUAAUGUAAGCAUGCGCAAAAUUGCUAAUAAGCAGCUAACGUUACAUCACUUUGAGUUAGAACAUUUAACCGGCAGUCCCAUCCGCCAAAAUCUUCGGUAUGCUAACGUUAGACAUGCUAACUGGACACCAACAUUACAGAAAUGUAAGCUAACGUUGACAUACUUGCCAGUAAAGGUAUCUCGAGUAACUACCGUACCGGAGCUCUUCUGUGCUGCACGUCAACACUUUGAGACGAACAAGGAGCAUCAAUCUAACGUAAAUGCUUUUCAAUGUAUGUUACAUCUUUAGUUUCAAUGAGCAUGCAUCUAAAAUUGAAUGAAUAAUAUUCCCCAAAUUCCAAUUAACUACACUUCCGGCUGUUACAGAGGGGAAACGCUGUAAUCUGUGAACUUUGAACAGUUCAUAUAUUGUUCAUAGUUUGUAGUUAAAGUUGUAAAAAUAACAACGUGGGGGUACCGACAGGGGGGGGUAUCGACUUUGGGGCACCCCUCCGUCGACCGGACCGUUCGGACCGUCGAGACAAGAGGGCUCGAAAGGGAUGUUUAAAAAUUUGGAUUCAAGAGUUUAAACAUUUCCGACUUGACUGGCCUUGGCGGCCUGAGCCGAAUUUUUGGUUUCCAUUGGGACAAAACUCAAAAAUCGUUCUUUAUUGAUUCUUUAAAGCCUUUGCUUUCAAGAUCAAGAUGAAAGGGUCAUAGAAAAAGAAACGGUACAGCAAAGUGUUUUAUGCACCAUGUGAAGUGGAUGAGCUCCAUCAAUACAAAUACACCGUCCACACACACGUUUACUUUAAAGGCCCAUUUCUAUAUUCUAGAUACCUUCACUGUAAACAUAGACAGGUGACAUCAGGAUUUCUCCAUGUUCCAUGUCCGUGUUCCAAAUUCCAUGCUCCAUGUUCCAUGCUCCAUGUUCCGUGUUCUAUGUUCCAUGUUCCGUGUUCUGUGCUCCAUGUUCCGUGUUCUAUGCUCCAUUCCCCACAGUAUAAGAAACACAGUCUGAGGCACAUUUAGUCAGUUAGUUUCAAACCUCACAUCUGCACACACUGAAGUUUUCCGGACAGAAAACUGCAGAAAGCGAUCGUCACGCCUCAGGAGUCUGAAGAGGAGAUGAAGACGCGUUUUGCUGCACUCAACAGAGCUCGAGACCAACAGGACGUCAUCAGGAAGCCAUCAGGACGUCACGCCAUCAGGACGCCAUCAGGACGUCACGCCAUCAGGACGCCAUCAGGAUGCCACGCCAUCAGGAUGUGCUGAGAGUCGCCCCCUCAGGAGCAGCGCCAGAUCUACGCAUGACUCAGAUAAGCGCACAACACACACACACACACAUACUCAGAGACAAACUAAUAUUUAGAUGUAGGAUUCAGGAAUCAGGAAACAUUUAUUAGCCAAAAUAUCUCAAACAUAAAAGGAAUUUGUCUUGGCGGUUAGUGCGCGACAGUAGACAGACAGGACAACAGUGCACAAGUAAUAAAAUAAAGUGGAAUGAAAUGCUAAUGCAAUGGGUUAGUAGAAUAAGGCUAAGGCUAUGGGUUCGUAUAAAACAAGGGAAUAAAGUUAAAAAAAUGUAAAUAUUAAAAAGUUAAAAAGAAAAAUAUUAAGCAUAAAGUGCACUAACGAACAAGUAACAGACAAGAGACGAAGUGACUGUACACAAAGACACACUAAUAUUUAAUUGUUGACAUAGACAUAUUAAUAUUUCGAUGUACACAUAGAUCAUUAAUAUUUCGAUGUACACAUAGGCACACUACCUGUAAGAGGCGAUUUAUGAUGUAUGGCAGCAUCUGAUUGAUGGGCGGGUCAGCCUAUAUAGGGUAGGAACCUUUGGGGGCUCGGCAGGUGUUUCCAGCCGGAAUGAGAAAAACAGUUUUGACUUUGAAUGUAGAGGCUAAGCCAACGCUUUAAGCCACUGAGGCAUUUUGUCCGGAAACCCUCGUUGACGCGCCGCUGUUGUCCCAUGACGGAUGAAUGAGAGUCUUGUAGUCUUUGUGUUGUUGUAAACAAGUCCACUUAUUUGCCAAUUUUACUCCUGUCACACGUUUACCAUACAUCAUGGGGUACAUGGGAGUGUGGAGGGGGAGAGAGAGGAGUGAUUGAAUAGAUGAAUGAAAUGUGUUGAGAAAUGUACUUUAAGAAAACAGUUUUGGAAGUAUGUUGUAAGGAGGGCAGACAGACCUAAUAGUUGAGUCUGAGAGGUUAACAUAAACUCACAGACGCAUUAACUCCGGAAGGUUAGUAUAAACUUUCGGCAUAAAUUAAUUCUGCGAGGCUAACAUAAGCUCGUGGACAAAAAAAAAAAUUCUCUGAAAGGUUAGUAUAAACUUUCAGCAUACAUAGAUUCUGCGAGGCUAACAUAAGCUCGUGGACACAAACAUUUUCUCUGGAAGGUUAGUAUAAACUUUCAGAACAUAGCUGUCUGCUCAGGUAAAAUACAUACGAUCUGGUUGACUGUUGUUAAAUGGAAGGUGAAUUUGAUGAAGAAGAGGAGGACGGCGGCUGGGAGUCAGCCUUAGAUCAUAAAUAUUUAGACACACAUAGACACACUAAUAUUUAGAUACACACAUAGACACAUUCAUAUUUCGAUGUACACAUAGACACACUAAUAUUUCGAUGUACACAUAGAUCAUUCAUAUUUCGAUGUACACAUAGACGCAC
ensembl:lncRNA